GAUCUCGUAGUUUAAUAAAAACUAUAAAAUUGCAAAUUUUAUAAUGCUCGUGCCGGGAUCU
rnacentral:tRNA from 1 species